GACGAACGCUGGCGGCGUGCUUAACACAUGCAAGUCGAACGGAAAGGCCCUGCUUUUGUGGGGUGCUCGAGUGGCGAACGGGUGAGUAACACGUGAGUAACCUGCCCUUGACUUUGGGAUAACUUCAGGAAACUGGGGCUAAUACCGGAUAGGAGCUCCUGCUGCAUGUUGGGGGUUGGAAAGUUUCGGCGGUUGGGGAUGGACUCGCGGCUUAUCAGCUUGUUGGUGGGGUAGUGGCUUACCAAGGCUUUGACGGGUAGCCGGCCUGAGAGGGUGACCGGCCACAUUGGGACUGAGAUACGGCCCAGACUCCUACGGGAGGCAGCAGUGGGGAAUAUUGCACAAUGGGCGGAAGCCUGAUGCAGCAACGCCGCGUGCGGGAUGACGGCCUUCGGGUUGUAAACCGCUUUCGCCUGUGACGAAGCGUGAGUGACGGUAAUAGGUAAAGAAGCACCGGCUAACUACGUG
rnacentral:rRNA from 1 species